rnacentral:misc_RNA from 1 species
CGCAUAAUACAUCACCAAAGCCAAAAAAAUAAAAAACCCUAGUUCCAAAUGCCAACCUGCAUGAAUCCAUCUUCAGUAGCACAUCCCCUGAACAUCCCAUUGGUGUUAUACCUACAAGCCACAUCCCCAUUUCUAGACACCGCUAUUAACCCCGCUUUCCCUUCAUCAAGCCUCUCAUUUAUCACAAAAUCCGCAGCCUGUUGCAACCCCAACCCUUUGUACUCCAUCACAGCCGCCCGCUACGUCUCGGGCUAGGGUCCCGCGGAUGAUGGCUUCACCUUCCCCUGUGCAUGAAAUUCCGCAGAGGUCACACGCGUAGGUCCCAGCGCCAAUCAGGGGCGAGUCACCUAUACGACCGGUCAUUUUGUUCAUUAGCCCACCUGUUGACGUGGCGGCAGCACAUCGACCCUCGCUGUCCACGGCCACACAACCAACGGUUUCCGGUGCAUACACGCUGAUUGGAAGACCGUUCAUUUGCAAGGGAUUGUCCAUGGCCGCAGCAGCACCGGCGCUGCAUGUCUCCAAGGGGAUCCUGUAAUCAAACAGAAUGGAAUUGGCUUCCUUUGCCAAUUUCAACAUCCCCACGUUAUCCUCGGUGAUGAAGUAGUCAUUUUGCAUCAGCUCCACACCCUGUUGUCUGGCAAAUUCCUC